UACGUAGGUGGCAAGCGUUGUCCGGAAUUACUGGGUGUAAAGGGCGUGUAGGCGGGUGACCAAGUCAGAUGUGGAAUUCCGGGGCUUAACUCCGGCGCUGCAUCUGAAACUGGACAUCUUGAGUGCUGGAGAGGAAAGCGGAAUUCCUAGUGUAGCGGUGAAAUGCGUAGAUAUUAGGAGGAACACCAGUGGCGAAGGCGGCUUUCUGGACAGUAACUGACGCUGAGGCACGAAAGCGUGGGGAUCAAACAGG
rnacentral:rRNA from 1 species